rnacentral:rRNA from 1 species
GCCCAGGCGCGAAAACUUUACAAUGCCCGAUUUCGUGAUAAGGGGACACCGAGUGCCAGCAUCAUAUGCUGGCUGUCCGGGUGUGUAAAAUACACCCGUUAGCAAGGGCCGGGCAAGACCGGUGCCAGCCGCCGCGGUAACACCGGCGGCCCGAGUGGUGAUCGUGAUUAUUGGGUCUAAAGGGUCCGUAGCCGGUUUGGUCAGUCCUCCGGGAAAUCUGACGGCUCAACCGUUAGGCUUUCGGGGGAUACUGCCAGGCUUGGAACCGGGAGAGGUAAGAGGUACUACAGGGGUAGGAGUGAAAUCUUGUAAUCCCUGUGGGACCACCUGUGGCGAAGGCGUCUUACCAGAACGGGUUCGACGGUGAGGGACGAAAGCUGGGGGCACGAACCGGAUUAGAUACCCGGGUAGUCCCAGCCGUAAACGAUGCUCGCUAGGUGUCAGGCAUGGCGCGACCGUGUCUGGUGCCGCAGGGAAGCCGUGAAGCGAGCCACCUGGGAAGUACGGCCGCAAGGCUGAAACUUAAAGGAAUUGGCGGGGGAGCAC